CGUGUGUAUGUGUGUGUGUGCGUGUGAGAGGCAACGGGCGCGCGCGUGUGGGCCCGGCAGGAUGCAGGGCGGGCCACGGCUUCGCCAAGCCAAGCCAGGAGUUGGGUCGUGGCGGCGGCGGCGUUCGGUGCUGGCUUCCUCGCGCUGGUAUUAAUAGUAAGAGAUAUUUCCUGGGAUUUAUAAAGAGCACAAACGAACACAGACUAAUAAUGAGACCCUCAGUGAGUGCUGAAGUUGAAAUGAUAUAGUUUCCCCUGGACUCCGCCGUUCUCUUGAAUUUGACAGAAAAUGGACCAGGAAUGACCCAUCGAGUGUCCCGCCAACGAAGCUCCUUGUGGAAUAAUUAAGCCUGCAAAGAGUCGCACAUGUAUAACAAUUAAAAAAGAGGGUCUCACAUGGUGGUGGCUGUUGAGCGAGCGGUCAAGAAGCCUCAAGAAGAAGCACACAAAGAGAAAAAUAUAAGAUCCCAGGAAAAGGAACAGUCUCCCCCUACCAACUCUUCAACCGACAGAAAACGUAGACAUUCAAACCCGUUUUCUUUGACGACGGAGAUCGAGAGGAACUUUUUACUUGAGUGUCCAAAAUCUCCGAUUCACAAUUUUCAAAAAAAAAGUUUCAAAAAUUCCAAAAAAAAAAAGACAUAUCGACCCUCACUUCAAGGACUUAAAAAGUGAGCGUCAAAUGGUAAGUGGAGAAGCAGUGAAGGCGCCUUUGAGCGGAGAUAGAGAGCGUUUUGGGCGGGAAAUGCUACUUAUCCAAGUGCCAAUGGGCGGGAGAGGCCGUCGGGUGGCCUUCCACAAUCCACAGGCCGGCGAAGGGCGCGGGGGGCAGCAUCAGCAGCAGCAUCAGCAGCAUCAGCAGGGAGACCCGGCGGCGAUGAAGAAGGAGAGAAGCUUCGUCAGGCAUUCUCACCACCACCAGCAGUACCAGCACUCCAACGCCAACAACAAUAAU
rnacentral:lncRNA from 1 species